rnacentral:rRNA from 1 species
UACGGAGGGAGCUAGCGUUGUUCGGAAUUACUGGGCGUAAAGCGCGCGUAGGCGGCUUUUUAAGUCAGGGGUGAAAUCCCGGGGCUCAACCCCGGAACUGCCCUUGAAACUGGAUGGCUAGAAUACUGGAGAGGUGAGUGGAAUUCCGAGUGUAGAGGUGAAAUUCGUAGAUAUUCGGAAGAACACCAGUGGCGAAGGCGACUCACUGGACAGUUAUUGACGCUGGGGUGCGAAUGUGUGGGGAGCAAACAGG